rnacentral:rRNA from 1 species
UACGUAGGGUCCGAGCGUUGUCCGGAAUUACUGGGCGUAAAGCGUGCGCAGGCGGCUUCUUAGGCAUGACGUGAAAGCCCCGGGCUCAACCCGGGAGGGUCGUCGUGAACCGGGGGGCUUGAGGCCUGGUAGGAGGUGGGUGGAACUCCUGGUGGAGUGGUGAAAUGCGUAGAGAUCAGGAAGAACACCGUGGCGAAGGCAGG